AGUGAACGCUGGCGGUAGGCCUAACACAUGCAAGUCGAACGGCAGCACAGUAAGAGCUUGCUCUUACGGGUGGCGAGUGGCGGACGGGUGAGGAAUACAUCGGAAUCUACUUUUUCGUGGGGGAUAACGUAGGGAAACUUACGCUAAUACCGCAUACGACCUACGGGUGAAAGCAGGGGAUCUUCGGACCUUGCGCGAUUGAAUGAGCCGAUGUCGGAUUAGCUAGUUGGCGGGGUAAAGGCGCACCAAGGCGACGAUCCGUAGCUGGUCUGAGAGGAUGAUCAGCCACACUGGAACUGAGACACGGUCCAGACUCCUACGGGAGGCAGCAGUGGGGAAUAUUGGACAAUGGGCGCAAGCCUGAUCCAGCCAUACCGCGUGGGUGAAGAAGGCCUUCGGGUUGUAAAGCCCUUUUGUUGGGAAAGAAAAGCAGCAGGCUAAUACCCCGCUGUUCUGACGGUACCCAAAGAAUAAGCACCGGCUAACUUCGUG
rnacentral:rRNA from 1 species